rnacentral:rRNA from 1 species
GAUGAACGCUGGCGGCGUGCCUAAUACAUGCAAGUCGAGCGAACGGACGAGAAGCUUGCUUCUCUGAUGUUAGCGGCGGACGGGUGAGUAACACGUGGAUAACCUACCUAUAAGACUGGGAUAACUUCGGGAAACCGGAGCUAAUACCGGAUGAUAUUUUGAACCGCAUGGUUCAAAAGUGAAAGACGGUCUUGCUGUCACUUAUAGAUGGAUCCGCGCUGCAUUAGCUAGUUGGUAAGGUAACGGCUUACCAAGGCCACGAUGCAUAGCCGACCUGAGAGGGUGAUCGGCCACACUGGAACUGAGACACGGUCCAGACUCCUACGGGAGGCAGCAGUAGGGAAUCUUCCGCAAUGGGCGAAAGCCUGACGGAGCAACGCCGCGUGAGUGAUGAAGGUCUUCGGAUCGUAAAACUCUGUUAUUAGGGAAGAACAUAUGUGUAAGUAACUGUGCACAUCUUGACGGUACCUAAUCAGAAAGCCACGGCUAACUACGUG